CAGAGCAUGUGACCCAGCUCUACGGCAAGAAGACUGUAGACCUGCCACCGCUGAGCUUCCCUGGAGAAUCUACGGAUAACCAGAGCUCAGCAAACCAACUCGGAGCAUUUCCUGAAUGUGAACGUCCACAGGGUAACAAAAGUACUCUGGUCAUACCUGCGUUUUGUAUUCCAAUGGACACCAACAACCGGCAUCAGGGAGAACUGUGUUCCAGGAAACGUGUUACGUUCCCCUCCUGUAUCAUCUCAUUUAAUCUUCAUAGCAAGUCAACGAGCUCUGGGCUCCCUGAGGACAGUGAGCAUAUCUUAACCACCUUUGUGCCAUCAGAGGCUAACCCAGUCGAUGCUUCUUAAAUGAAGGUCCCCAGGCAAGGGCCACCAUGACGGGAUGCCACAGGACACACUAAGGGAUAAACAGUAUGAAGAGGCUCUGGAGGGUCCUUCAUAAUAAGACAGUAUGGUGCCAUCGCUUACUAGCUGUGUGAUAACAGGACACCGACUUAGCUUCUCUGUGUCUGCGUUCUCCACGACAACGGGGGAUCAUAACAGCACCUGCUUUGUGGAGCUGCUGCGAGGGUGCAGAUGAGUGUAAGUGCGGGAGCCUGCAGCUCCUGCUCUCUGAACGUUUCAGCCCGGGCAGUUGCCCUCGCCUCUCCCCACAGCCCUUCCCUUCACCCGCCCUCCUCCACCGCUUCUUCAAGUCCCAACUUCGACGCUGCUUUCUCCUGCGCGUGUUCCCCAACCCCCCACGUCUGUGGGCCGUGCCAAUGGCCUGUCUUCCAGCAGGACCCUGGCCUUCCUCCAUCGCACACGCAUCUCACUGUGGCAUAGUUCCUUCUUAAUAAGUCAAUAAGUAGAACAAGAAUGGUAAUAUUUGUUGAGCCAAGGACUCUGUGCCAAGGACUAUGGCAGGUUCUUACAAGCACCGUCCUCACCCAUCCUCACGAUGACUCUAGGCGACAAGGCUUUGUUAUUUCCAUUUUAAAAAUGAGGAAAUGGGACAAAAUCGAUUCAGUAAACUGUCCAAGAUCACCCAGCCAGUGAGUUUCAGGACAGAUCCAGACCCAGCUCUGCCUCAUUUUGGUCCAUAUUCUCAGCAUCGUGCUAAGUGGUGUCUGCUCCACCUCCCAUCAGGCUCUACCAGGGGCGUCCUGCCUGUAGCCUGCGGACCACACGCCGCCCAAGAUGUCUGUGAAUGCAGCCCAAUGUGAAAUCACAAAUUUACUUAAAACAUUAUGAGAUUUUUUGUGUGUGGUCACAUGUUGCAAUGUAUUUAAUGUGUAGCUCAAGACAACUCCUCUUCUUCCAGUGUGGCACACAGACACCAAAAGGUUGGACACCCCUGUUCUAGAAUAUGCUAAAGUAAACAAAACUUGAACCCACACUGUGUUGAAAGCAAGUGGUUAGUAAACUGAUAAGCGCUGAAAGUCUCCGCCGCCUUUCACCUGGUUCUUCGGUUUGUGGCGUGGCCGGGACUGGGCUUGUGAGAAAGCCAGGGAAG